rnacentral:rRNA from 1 species
GCAAGUCGAACGAGAAAGCCCUUCGGGGUGAGUAGAGUGGCGCACGGGUGAGUAAUGCAUAGGAACAUACCAAUGAGUGGGGAAUAACAGUUGGAAACGACUGCUAAUACCGCAUAUUCUGGAGACAGUAAAGGUGGCCUCUUCUUGAAAGCUACCGCUUAUUGAUUGGCCUAUGUCCCAUUAGCUAGUUGGUAGGGUAAUGGCCUACCAAGGCGACGAUCUUUAGCUGUUCUGAGAGGAUGAUC